GUAUAGGUAAAAGCGUGUGACCCCGCCUUUGGCGGGGAGACGAGGAGAGGGUAAUUCGAACUUUGGUUUGCGUAAACUUGUCCUGAGUGAGCGAAGCGAACCGAAGGAUCUGCGGGCACCCUCAGGUUGCAAUUGUCAACCUCAAGAUUUUCUUAAAAGCUCAAAGUAAUUUGAGAAACAAAAAGAAAAUCGAACAACUAC
rnacentral:ncRNA from 2 species